UUGGAGGGCAAGUCUGGUGCCAGCAGCCGCGGUAAUUCCAGCUCCAAUAGCGUAUAUUAAAGUUGUUGCAGUUAAAAAGCUCGUAGUUGAACUUCGGGAUCAAUGGAUUGGUCAUGCCGAUGGUAUGUACUGGUCAUAUUGGUUCUCACCUUCUAAGGAACCAUAAUGUCAUUUAUUUGAUGUUGUGGGGAAUUAGGACUGUUACCUUGAAAAAAUUAGAGUGUUUAAAGCAGGCUAACGCUUGAAUACAUUAGCAUGGAAUAAUGAAAUAGGACAUCGCAUUCUAUUUUGUUGGUUUCUAGGAUCGAUGUAAUGAUUAAUAGGGAUAGUUGGGGGCAUUAGUAUUCAAUUGUCAGAGGUGAAAUUCUUGGAUUUAUUGAAGACUAACUACUGCGAAAGCAUUCGCCAAGGAUGUUUUCAUUAAUCAAGAACGAAAGUUAGGGGAUCGAAGACGAUCAGAUACCGUCGUAGUCUUAACCAUAAACUAUGCCGACUAGGGAUCGGAUGAUGUUGAUUUUUUAAUGACUCAUUCGGCGCCUUACGGGAAAC
rnacentral:rRNA from 1 species